rnacentral:rRNA from 1 species
UACGUAGGUGGCAAGCGUUGUCCGGAUUUACUGGGCGUAAAGAGCGCGCAGGCGGUCGUUCAAGUCGCGUGUGAAAGCCCCCGGCUCAACUGGGGAGGGUCACGCGAUACUGAUCGACUCGAAGGCAGGAGAGGGUAGUGGAAUUCCCGGUGUAGUGGUGAAAUGCGUAGAUAUCGGGAGGAAUACCAGUGGCGAAGGCGACUACCUGGCCUGUUUCUUGACGCUGAGGCGCGAAAGCUAGGGGAGCAAACGGG